AUUGAACGCUGGCGGAAUGCUUUACACAUGUAAGUCGAACGGCAGCACGGACUUCGGUCUGGUGGCGAGUGGCGAACGGGUGAGUAAUGUAUCGGAACGUGCCCAGUCGUGGGGGAUAACGUAGUGAAAAUUACGCUAAUACCGCAUACGAUCUAUGGAUGAAAGCGGGGGAUCGCAAUACCUCGCGCGAUUGGAGCGGCCGAUAUCAGAUUAGGUAGUUGGUGGGGUAAAGGCCCACCAAGCCAACGAUCUGUAGCUGGUCUGAGAGGACGACCAGCCAUACUGGAACUGAGACACGGUCCAGACUCCUACGGGAGGAAGCAGUGGGGAAUUUUGGACAAUGGGCGAAAGCCUGAUCCAGCCAUUCCGCGUGCAGGAUGAAGGCCCUCGGGUUGUAAACUGCUUUUGUACAGAACGAAAAGGUUUCCACUAAUACUAGGAGCUCAUGACGGUACUGUAAGAAUAAGCACCGGCUAACUACGUGCCAGCAGCCGCAGUAA
rnacentral:rRNA from 1 species